rnacentral:rRNA from 6 species
GCCAGUCUGCGUGGAGCCGACCUUGAAAUACCACCCUUUAAUGUUUGAUGUUCUAACGUGGACCCGUAAUCCGGGUUGCGGACAGUGUCUGGUGGGUAGUUUGACUGGGGCGGUCUCCUCCUAAAGAGUAACGGAGGAGCACGAAGGUUGGCUAAUCCUGGUCGGACAUCAGGAGGUUAGUGCAAUGGCAUAAGCCAGCUUGACUGCGAGCGUGACGGCGCGAGCAGGUGCGAAAGCAGGUCAUAGUGAUCCGGUGGUUCUGAAUGGAAGGGCCAUCGCUCAACGGAUAAAAGGUACUCCGGGGAUAACAGGCUGAUACCGCCCAAGAGUUCAUAUCGACGGCGGUGUUUGGCACCUCGAUGUCGGCUCAUCACAUCCUGGGGCUGAAGUAGGUCCCAAGGGUAUGGCUGUUCGCCAUUUAAAGUGGUACGCGAGCUGGGUUUAGAACGUCGUGAGACAGUUCGGUCCCUAUCUGCCGUGGGCGCUGGAGAACUGAGGGGGGCUGCUCCUAGUACGAGAGGACCGGAGUGGACGCAUCACUGGUGUUCGGGUUGUCAUGCCAAUGGCACUGCCCGGUAGCUAAAUGCGGAAGAGAUAAGUGCUGAAAGCAUCUAAGCACGAAACUUGCCCCGA